rnacentral:rRNA from 1 species
UGGGGAAUUUUGGACAAUGGGGGAAACCCUGAUCCAGCCAUCCCGCGUGUGCGAUGAAGGCCUUCGGGUUGUAAAGCACUUUUGGCAGGAAAGAAACGUCAUGGGUUAAUACCCCGUGAAACUGACGGUACCUGCAGAAUAAGCACCGGCUAACUACGUGCCAGCAGCCGCGGUAAUACGUAGGGUGCAAGCGUUAAUCGGAAUUACUGGGCGUAAAGCGUGCGCAGGCGGUUCGGAAAGAAAGAUGUGAAAUCCCAGAGCUCAACUUUGGAACUGCAUUUUUAACUACCGGGCUAGAGUGUGUCAGAGGGAGGUGGAAUUCCGCGUGUAGCAGUGAAAUGCGUAGUUAUGCGGAGGAACACCGAUGGCGAAGGCAGCCUCCUGGGAUACCACUGACACUCAUGCACGAAAGCGUGGGGAGCAAACAGG